UACGUAGGGUGCGAGCGUUGUCCGGAAUUAUUGGGCGUAAAGGGCUCGUAGGCGGUUUGUCGCGUCGGGUGUGAAAACUCAGGGCUCAACCCUGAGCGUGCUUCCGAUACGGGCAGACUAGAGGUAUGCAGGGGAGAACGGAAUUCCUGGUGUAGCGGUGGAAUGCGCAGAUAUCAGGAGGAACACCGGUGGCGAAGGCGGUUCUCUGGGCAUUACCUGACGCUGAGGAGCGAAAGCAUGGGGAGCGAACAGG
rnacentral:rRNA from 1 species